CUUCACUGCUUCUCCCUUGUUCUGCUUUGCUACUUCUGCUUCACUGGGUUGUGCUUCGCUGCUUCUGCUUUGCUGCUGCUGCUUCACUGCAUCGGCCGUUUGUGGAUUGUCAUCUGUGUUUGUCUCUUUAAAACCAGAAAAAGGGAAUCAAAUAGUGGGUCUCUCUGUAGCUGCGACUACCUUAGACAUUGAGUUACACUACAGAAUGAGUCAAGAUUUGAAGAGAAAAGAGACCACAAUUGAAGAUGAUGUUGAAGAGUGUGGCAGCUUGCAAGAAAGGCCAACUAAGAAGGGAAAAACACGUCAAUUUGCUUCAAUGCCGAUUGAUACUUUUCUUAAACUUAACAAUGAACCUGAUGGUGAAGAGCAAUUGGAUGAGAAUGAAGGAGAUAUUAUAGAGGAGCAGGACAAGGAUUAUAUUAAUCCAACUGAGGCUGAGAACAUAGAUAAUACUUUGAAAGGUA